rnacentral:tRNA from 1 species
CAGUAAGUAGUUUAAGUAAAAUGUUAAUUUUGGGGAUUAAUGAUACAUAUAUAUAUUGUUUUACUGA